UCAGCUUGAGCUAUUUUGCAAAGAGGAAUGGGCAAAUAUUUCUGUCCCUGUAUGUGCAUCGCUGGUAGAGGUUUACCCCGAAAGACUUGCAGCUAUCUUUGCAGCAAAAGGUGGUUCUACAAAGUAUUGACUCAGGGGGGUGAAUACUUUCCCAUACAUAAAUACAAUGGUAAAGUUCAAGGGGGGUGAAUACUUUUGCCAGCCACUGUAUGUAUGUAUGUAUGUAUGUAUGUAUGUAUGUAUGUAUGUAUGUAUGUAUGUAUGUAUUUGUGUGUUUGUGUGUUUGUGCUUUGUUUUCUGCCCUCUUGUUUUAACUUCUCUUAGUUUGGCUUGAAUGUUGAACAUUUUCCUCUUUUAUUAUCCUCAUGAGUGUCCUACUUUUGCUCUGCCUUUGUAAACUCUGCUUUCUACUCUGUGGCAGCACUCUGUGGCAACAGGUAAAACACAGGUGUAACUGCAUACACCAAUGAUCACCAUUUUAUUCAAGCAAUAAUUAUAUAAUACGAAUCUAAAAUAAUUUUAAAUUCUGGCAAAAAUGCUGCCAGAUCUGCUGUUAUUUAACAUCAUGGGCGAGGGAACUAAAACAAGGCAUUAUAAAAAAACAUAAAUUUGUAAAAAAGUGGGAGACAGACAACAUCAGUCUUCGCACCGAUAGUGCUCAGCCCAAAAUAUAUUGACCAUGACCAUUGACUCCAUUUGUAAAAGCAGUAAAAGUGGAACAUUUCUAAGGUGGUCAAUCAUUUUUAAAAAAAAAUUUCACAGCACAGUUCUGUCACCAUAAUAUGAAUGUGCUAAAAGAAGGUCCGCUUUUUAAAUCAUACGUACAUUUUUAAGGAUGUUUUGAAGAUCUGAACAUGAAAUGACAUGAAAUUUAGAUUUCUGUUAUGAGCCACGACAACCUUAAAUAAUCAUAACCAUAUUUGCUUCCAGAGACGACAGACUCUCUGCAGCAGCAGAGAGGGUUUUCUGCAGACUGUGGAAAUCUUAAAUUUCCUCAGAUGUCUGAGGUGAUACAGGUGCUGUCUAGCCUUCUUCACUCGUGAGGUGAUGUGGGUUGUCCAUGUUAGGUCUGCAGAGGAAUCUAAUGAGGUGUCACAAUAGAUUGUACAAACUGAAUUUUGUAUGAAUCCUUGCUGCAGAUAACAGGAUAUAACCUCUCGCAUUUUUGAUGCACCCCCCAGCAGCUUUGUGGAGGCUUUUUUCACUAUGCCGAUCUAAAGUCAGGGGAAGUUUGCAGUCCACAAUACAUUUCUGGAGCUUCCAGUGUUGCAGAGUUCUACUUAACAACUGAAAAAAGUGACUGAAAAAAAUACAUGAAUGGCUUCGUACAACUCUUCUUGCAUAUUCCAAGUCUCCGGAAACCCAGAAAUCCCAAAGAUCUCCAAAAAUGUUUUGGGAAGAUCAUCAGAUUUUCUAUCGGCAUCAGGGUAGAGAAUGACUGAAUCUUCACUUUUAGGUGCUUGUAGCCAUCAUUAAUGUCAUUACUUGCCCCUGUGUUUAACAAGUCAUGAUAUCAGCCGCAAGAAAAGCCUACUGUACUACUCCUAACCAACACUGCUGAAUUAAAGUAUGCUAAAAGCCCUAGGAAUGAAGUCAGUCAAGUCAUACCAGCUUCAAUGCUAAAUCCUGUGUUGGAUAAAUAUUCACAAAGCUGACAUAACAAACCCAAUCCAACCUAACAGCCUAUAUUGGUAUUAAAACAUAAACAUAAACAAUGCAAUUCCUAAAAAGAUGUUCUUUUGCCACUUUCCCUUGGAUUACAAUGUCAGUGUUAUCCCAAGUGAAACACAUGCAGGUGGUGUUUCAUCACUAUAGGCUGCCCCCAGACCCACCUAGCUGACUACUCCAUGUCCUUGUGGAAAGCUCUGCUGCACCCAUCAUUAUCCUGCUAUAGGUGGGAAAAAACACUUUGGUUUGUUUGUAUUUCUUUAACCCAAUCACAGUUGUCAAGGGUGGGGUAAAGCACAGGAUGUGAUGAUAGUGUCGGGGUGGCGGGGUCCUUGUCUUGGUGGAACACUUGCAUAAGGGGAGGUGAGUCUCUUGCAUUAAAAUGGCCAAAUCCCCACAAAAGAAACAAUUACAAGUCCAGCAGUCAUAUCCGUCUUUUCCUGUAUGAACACACUUAAAUGCAGGUAGCAGAAGGGGAGAUGAAGGCUUACAAUCACAGUCUUCAUCUGAUAAUUCCAACAUAGUUUGAUCCAACUUGAGCAGAACUUGACCCCAGAAUAACUGAAAACACUUUUGUGGGUGUGCAGAGCCUUGAAGUUGAGCCUUGAACUAACUGCACAGGCUUGAAAUGCUGCCAUCUAGCAGUGGCUGCAUGCAAUGUCAACACUCUGUGGCACAAAGUAUUCUACAAUAAAGUUUGACAUGCAACACUAA